AGAGUUUGAUCCUGGCUCAGAACGAACGCUGGCGGCGUGGAUAAGACAUGCAAGUCGAACGAUUAUCACGGGGUAGCAAUAUUCUGUGGUGAGAGUGGCGCAAGGGUGCGUAACACGUGGGCAAUUUGCCGUGAAGCCUGGAAUAACUCGCUGAAAGGCGAGCUAAUACCGGAUGUGAUUUCUGGAGGGCAUCCUCUGGAACUCAAAGCUGGGGACCGUAAGGCCUGGCACUUCACGAUAAGCCCGCGGCCUAUCAGCUAGUUGGUGAGGUAACGGCCCACCAAGGCUAAGACGGGUAGCUGGUCUGAGAGGACGACCAGCCUCACUGGAACUGAGACACGGUCCAGACACCUACGGGUGGCAGCAGUCGAGAAUUUUUCACAAUGGGCGCAAGCCUGAUGGAGCGACGCCGCGUGGGGGAUGAAUGGCUUCGGCCCGUAAACCCCUGUCAUUUGCGAACAAACCUCGUUAUUUAAAAGAUGACGAGUUGAUAGUAGCGAAAGAGGAAGGGACGGCUAACUCUGUGCCAGCAGCCGCGGUAAUACAGAGGUCCCAAGCGUUGUUCGGAUUCACUGGGCGUAAAGGGUGCGUAGGUGGCGGGGUAAGUCUGACGUGAAAUCUCCGAGCUUAACUCGGAAAUGGCGUCGGAUACUAUCUCGCUAGAGGGUUGGAGGGGAGACUGGAAUUCUCGGUGUAGCAGUGAAAUGCGUAGAUAUCGAGAGGAACACCAGUGGCGA
rnacentral:rRNA from 1 species